rnacentral:rRNA from 1 species
CCCUUAGAUGUUCUGGGCCGCACGCGCGCUACACUGACGAAUGCAACGAGCUUAUAACCUUGGCCGAAAGGUCUGGGUAAUCUCCAAAUUUCGUCGUGAUGGGGAUAGAUUAUUGCAAUUAUUAAUCUUCAACGAGGAAUGCCUAGUAAGCGCAAGUCAUCAGCUUGCGUUGAUUACGUCCCUGCCCUUUGUACACACCGCCCGUCGCUCCUACCGAUUGAAUGGUCCGGUGAAGCGCUCGGACCGCGGCCUCUUGACGGUUUUCCGUCGAUUGGCUGUGGGAAGUUCGCUAAACCUUAUCAUUUAGAGGAAGGAGAAGUCGUAACA